GAUGAACGCUAGCGGCAGGCUUAACACAUGCAAGUCGAGGGGCAUCGCGGGGUAGCAAUACUCUGGCGGCGACCGGCGCACGGGUGAGUAACGCGUAUCCAACCUGCCCAUGGCUAGGGAAUAGCCCGUUGAAAAGCGGAUUAAUGCCCUAUGGCGUCCUUUGCAGACAUCUAACGAGGACAAAAGGUUUACCGGCCAUGGAUGGGGAUGCGUCCGAUUAGGUAGUUGGCGGAGUAACGGCCCACCAAGCCCUCGAUCGGUAGGGGUUCUGAGAGGAAGGUCCCCCACAUUGGAACUGAGACACGGUCCAAACUCC
rnacentral:rRNA from 1 species